rnacentral:rRNA from 1 species
CCUACGGGGGACAGCAGUGAGGACUAUUGGUCAAUGGGCGCGAGCCUGAACCAGCCAAGUAGCGUGAAGGAUGACUGCCCUACGGGUUGUACACUUCUUUUAUCAAGGAAUAAAGUUAGGCACGUUUGCCUUUUUGUAUGUCCUUUAUGAAUAAGGAUCGGCUAACUCCGUGCCAGCAGCCGCGGUAAUCCGGAGGAUCCGAGCGUUAUCCGGAUUUAUUGGGUUUAAAGGGGGCGUAGAUGGGUUGUUAAGUCAGUUGUGAAAGUUUGCGGCUCAACCGUAAAAUUGCAAUUGAUACUGGCAGUCUUGAGUACAGUUGAGGUAGGCGGAAUUCGUGGUGUAGCGGUGAAAUGCUUAGAUGUCACGAAGAACUCCGAUUGCGAAGGCAGCUUACUAAACUGCCACUGACAUUGAUGCUCGAAAGUGUGGGUAUCAAACAGGAUUAGAUACCCUUGUAGUC